AAAGACUAAAAUACUAGAUCAUUUGAAUGUCAAAAUAAAAAUGUAAUACCAGAAGAAAAGAUAUAGUAAAGCAAAAACUUUCACAUGCCACACUGCACGAUCAUGCAGUGUUUAUUAUUCCAUUGAUUAUUUAUUUGUUCAUUUCCAUACACACAAUUAAAAACAGAGUCUAAGGGACUUUGUUUAGUCACAUGCAUGAUACAUAGUUAUACUUGCUCAGUUCUUAAUGACCUCCUCCACCUCAGAGUUGUGACAUGCUUUAUAGCAGAAUUUAUGAGUAUCAAAGCACUGACACUGGGGAGGAUAAGAUAGUGCACAAAUGCAACUGUCGCAUGCUGAGUGACAAGUUUCUCCAACAUCAACACAGCGACACGUAGGAGGGUCUGAUUUUGUGCAAAGGCAGGUAUCACAACAUGCUGAUUUGACAUCAUCACCAUUGGAGAGCACUUGAGUUAUGAAGGAAGUUGAAUCAAAACGAGCGUUAACAACAUUUGCGGCGAAGCUCAAGAGGAAAACCAUUAGAGCUAACUUCAUCAUUACCUUCUUAUUCAUCAACUCCAUUCUAACUCUUUUUCUCUUUCUUACUUUCUCUCUCUCUCUUUCUUUAUUUGCCUUGUGAAAAAGCAUGAAGCUACAUAGAUCUAUUUAUAUUGGUAUUUUUAUUCAAUUUUAUUAAUUUAAGUAUGUUUAUAGGCGUAAUUAUCCUCUAUUAUAUUAUUAACUUUUGGUUCAUCUUUCGUACGUGUAGACAUUUUUCUGACGAAAUGCAUAUCUGUAGACAUAAGGCCAUGCCAUGUAUAAGAACAUGUAUUAUUCAUUAUUAUAAUUUACACGUGUACCUAUUGCACUAAAAACUAAAUAAUUAACAAUUAGAGAUUACAUUAAUAUAAUUAAAUAAUUAACAAUUGAGAGGCAACAAUAGCAUGAAGCUACAUAGAUAUAUUUAUGUAGGUAUUUUAAAUCCAUUUUAUUAAUAUAAGUGUUGUCCUUAAAAAAUAUUAAAUUUUUUUUCUGUCUCACUUGUCACUUGUCAAUUUUUUUCUGGUGCAUGUGACUAAUAAGCAUAACAUUUAUUUUUUUCUUUCAACGAUUCCAUUUAAUCGAGGAGAAUAAUAAGAGAGGGUUACUUCACAAAAUUAUUCCUUCUUUUUUUUUUCAAAAAUCAUUAAAAGAAAUAUAUUCUCCUCCUAUAUCAUAUCUAACUCUUUUUAUUUUUUUAUUUAAUUGAUUUUCAACCUCGACUUUGUAUAAGAUAAAUUUAUGAACGCUUCAUCUUUAUGUUUUAACAAAUAAGCUUUAGUGAAUCUUGAACAAUCAUCUAUAAAUGUUUUAUAAUAAUUAUUUCGUCCUCUAGAUGUAGUUUGCUUUAAGUCUCCUUAAUCAAUACGAAUUAGACCAAUAAGAUCAGAUUCACAUUGCACAUACAUAUAUUUUUUGUGUGUUAAUUUUGAUUCUAAACAAAUAUCACAUUGACCAGAUUGCUUAUUAUUUAAAGUAAUCAUAUCAAGAAAUUGUAUUGUAUUAAUAUAAGAAGAAUUAACAUGUCAUAUAUCAUAAGAAUCAAUCAAGUAAGCAUAAGAAGAAAUUUUAUUAUUCAUAACUUCAUAAAUGUUCAACACAAAGAGUCUCGGGUCACAAUAACUUUUUCCACACAAAUACAUUAUUCUUUGUCAUUAUAAUCUUGUUAGAUUCAAAUGACCCUUUAACCGCACCAUUGCUCAAAAGAGCCACAUAAAUUAAAUUAGUCCUAAUAUUAGACGUAUGUAAUACUUCACUUAAAGCCAAUGUCUUUCCUGAUGUGAACUUUAAUAUAACUUUUCCUUUUUCUGAAAUUGCAACAGUUUGAGAAUCGCCCAGAUAAAAUCGUUCUUCUCCAUCCUCCACAAUAGGUAAAGGCAUCUUUAUUAGCACAAAUGUGCCUAGUAGCCCUAAAGUCUAUUACCCAUUUGUUCGCAUCAGUCACAAUAUUUGCUUGAGCAAUGACAACAACAAUAAUAUCACCUCCUUCAGCCAAAUUAGCUUUAGAAGGAUUGUCAUUCCUCUUGCAAUGUUUGCAUUGAGGUGCAUGAUGACCUGACUUAUUACAAACGUAAUAUUCUUCUCUUUUUUAAAGUGAGAUUAGUAACACAAGGGAUAAAAUUAUUAUUAUUAUUAUGACCAGAUUUAUGAUCGGGUUUGUGAUCGUACCUCUUUUUGUAAAACUUAUUACUAGUGUUAUUAUGGACCAAAUUUGCUCGAGAAACAAAACUUUUUUCCUUGGUAGCCUUGCUCUCCUUUAUAUUUGUACCCUCGAUAAUGAUGUGUGUGAUCAAAUCUGCUAAAGGUAAUUUCUUUUGCUUAUGUUUGAGUUGAUUCUUGCAAUCCGUCCAUGAUUCCAACAUCCUCUCAAUGAGAAUUCCAACAAUGAAUUAACCUGGCAAAGUUAUUUUCAACUUUCAGUUCUUCUAACAAUUUAUGAUACUCGUUGAUCUGCGCCUUUAUAUCUUUAUCUUCCGACAUUUUCCAAUGAUAGUAAUUUCCGAUCAAAUUUUUUUCUCUUCCAGCGAUAUAAUUUAGAUUCACCGAAUCCCAUAUCCAUUUUGCUUCCUUGUAUGGGCAGUAGAAAUCAAACAAAUUGUUAGAAAGAGUACUUAAUAUUGUGUGUCGACAUACCUUGUUUGCAUGUGCCCAUUGAUCGAUAAAUUUUUGAGUUGCAGACGAUGCUGGUUUCAAUUCUUAGAGAGCAUAUGCAACACCAUGCAUGUCAAGGAUGAAGUGAACAUGCUCAUACCAUCUGCGAAAGUUUUGGCCAUUGAAAACUUCAAUUUUUGACACAUUGGGGAAUGAUUUAGUGUAAUUGAUAUUCGGCACAACGAGAGGUGGUUGUUGUUGAAUAGUUUCAACAUUGUUGAUUUGAGGUUGACGGUUGGAGUCAUCACUGGAAUUGUCUUUGAUAGACAAAAUCCUCGAGAUUGUUGAAUAAUUUGCUAUGAAGACCUGUAAAAUAAGAUUGGGUUAAAUAAUCUGAGACGCGCUGACCGCGUUGUCCUCAAGGAUUUUCCACGUAAUACGCUAACCCUUUAGGAUUUAUCCGAUUCUUCUCAGUAAAUCGAGGAUACAAAACUCGCAAGAAAAAUUAUUUGAGCUAUUAGAAAUUAAUCCAGAAUUAAGAAAAAUCAAAUUAAAAAACGAUUUUUUAAAUAGUGUUUUUUCUUGUAUUAUGUGCAAAGCCUCACUUGUCUACUUCUUUUUUUGUCCUUUCUAUGUAUUAUAUAUUCUAGUAGAGAAGAAUAGAAUAAUAAUCAAUAAAAAUCAAUAAAUGAUUUCAUUACUUUUAGAAUAUCACAUUUUAUCGCCAUUAUUCUGAAUAAAGAUUUUAACGUCAAUGUAAUAACAGAAUGCAAGUAAUAAUAUUUUGUUACUUAAUUUGAAAUUGAAAAAUAUUAUAGAUAUUGAAUGACGUUUUAAUUUUAUUUACAUUUUUUAUUUUUAAUAUUAUACACACAUGUUAAUUUAUCGUUUUUAUUAAAUACAUCACUAUCAAACUUGUACUCAUUUUAAAAUAAAUGUUUGUUUAUUUAUUAUCUCAACAAUAAUAUCUUUGAAUUUUUUUUAAUGUUUUUAAAAACUUCAAAUGACAUGAUAAAUUAUUUUUUAUUAGAAAUGUGAGUAAACAGGUAUGGAUAUGAGUACUUAGGUACGCAUAGGGUACGAGGACAAAUAUAAAUAUUGGUGCCCAUGCGAAUAUAGACUCGGGUAAGGAGAAUUUUUUAAACUGCAGGUACGGGAACAUGUACUAUGCUCAAACCAUGCUCAUCCCACAAAUCCUAGACCAACCAAAAGAAGACAUGGAACCGCGGAAGCUAUGAGUGAAGGUGCUUAGUGGAAAUCGAAACCCUGGGAAUGGGAUAGCGAUUGAGUUCGCAACUCCUAAGAUUGCCAAUGGUGAGAUUGAAAUCGAGAUAGAAGAAGCUGACAUAGAGACUAAGGUAAAGUUUUGGGACUCUGCACUAAUAAUGUAUGUCAUAGGUGGUGAAGUGGGAAUGAAUGUUGUUAAGCAGUUUAUGAUGACGAAGUGGAACUUUGUAAAGCUUCCUGACAUGUACUAUAAGGAUGAACGUUACUUAAUUUUGAGGUUUCACUCCCAUCUUGAUAGGGUUGCAGUGAUGUUGAGGGGCCCGUAUACUAUCAUCAAUAUGCCUAUGUUGUUGAGGGAAUGGAAAACAAAUUUCAACCUCAAGAAUGAUAUGUUGUGAAACCUCCCAAUCUAGGUGAAAUUUCCUCAAAUCCCUCUCCAUUUUAGUGGAGGUAGACUUCACCCAAAAACUAACAAAUGAAAUCACCAUCAAAUAUGCAUAAGGGCGCAAAAUGAAACAACUGGUUGAAUACAAAUAGAAACCCCCUAGUGUGAGAAAUGUCAGAAAGUUGGACACAAUUGUGGAGCUCAAAAGCAGAAACCAACAACAAGAUAAUGGGUCCCAAAAAAUUCUCAACAAACAGUGGUGAAGGAGACUCCUAAGGAAACUAUAGAAAUAGCUACCACUAGUACAACUCAGAUCAUUGGGACUCCUACAAGCAUUGAGAUGGAACAGGUGGAGUGGACCAAGGUUGGCAAAAGUCGAAGAGACAUGGGAAAGAAAGCUAUGUCACCUCAACAAACAGAUUUGAAGCACUAGGAUUGAGAAAAGACUUAGGGUCUGUUUGAAUUACUUCUCAAAAACUGUUUUUUAAUUUUUAAAAAAUAAAAACUAAAAAACUUGUUUGAUAAACUAUUUUUAAAAUAGUAGUUUUAAAAAUUAGAUUUGUUUUUUAGUUUUAAAAACUGAAAGAGUAAAAUUGAUAAAUAUAGUUUCAGUUUUUAAUAUGUAGUUUCAGUUUUCAUUUUCAAUUUUUUUUAAAAAAAAUCCCAAAAAUAAAAAUUUAUGGAAAAAUAUAAAUUUUUAUUAAUGGUAUUUUGAUGAUUUAUUUAUUUAUUUAUAUAUAAUUUCAAAAGGAUAUCAAUAUUGUACGAAGAAUUUUGAGAAGAAAAAAAAUCCAUAAUAAUAAUAAUUAUGAUUUGUAUAAAUGUUUAGCAUAAAGCCAUUACUAAAUCCUAAAUACUAAUGGCGGAUCAUUUUAAUUUUAUUCAUGCAUUCAAGUUCUGUUUUUUUUCUUUAAAUAACUUAAUUCUUUCGAUUUUUUAUAUUUUCAUUAAUGUAAUUAUAUAUAUAUAUAUAAAAAUAUUUUACAUAUACAUCCAACUAAAUUACAUCAAAUAAAUAUACUAAAAAUUAAUCUAAUAAUGUAUCACUAGCAUGUAUUUUGAUUCGAUUAAAAAGUUUUACAUAGUAAGUACAUACAAAUUUACUUAAGAUUAUUUAAAAAAAAGUAUGGCUCAAAAACCUAACUAUAGGAAGGCAUGAAGACAAUAGGCGCCUAGGGGUGGCAAAACAGGCCCGGUCCGCCGGGCAUGCCCGUUUUUCCCGCACCUUAGUGCAGGGCGGGCCAAGGAUUUAGGCCCCCAACAUCUAAUGUGUCCGCCCCGCCCCACCCCGUUCUUUUCCGCAGGCUUUUGUGGGCACGUGCGUUUACAUAAUUUUUUGCAUUUUUAGGCUUAAAGAGUGCAGUGUCCGCGGGCUUUCCCCUUCCCGCCCUCACUUUUUUGUAGGACGGGCCUAAGUUUUAGGCCCACAUCCUCAAUUAUGACCGUCCCGCCCCACCCCGUUUUUUUGCGGGCUUUUGCGGGGCAGACCUAUAUGGGGCGGGCAUGUCCGUUUGCCACCCCUAUAGGCGCCACGUGGACGACAGUAAAGAAGGGCAUCGAGGACCCGAUCCAGAUUUUCAAAUUAUACUCAGUUGAACAUGUUUAGAGGAAAAAUUCUACAAGAGUGUGCUAAGGCCUAGGUAAAGAACGCCAGAGAUAAGAUAUCCCAAUAACGUAAAGUAGUUAGCACAAAUCGAUAGAUCAAAAUUUAAUUAUUAAUUAUAAUAAAAAUAUUUUAAAUAUAUAUUUGUUAAUAAAAGUGUUCUUAAAAAUUAGACUACCAAAUAGAUUUUUUAUUUUCUCAUCUCUAGAACUGUUUUUGAAAAUUAACUUAUCAAAUGAAUUUUUUAUUUUCUCAUUUCUACAAUAGUUUUGAAAAGUUAAAUUAUCAAACAAAUUUUUUAUUUAUUCUCUUCUUAAAAAGAAUUUUCUAAAACAAUUUUAUAAAAUAAUUUUUAAAAAGUAAAAAGCAAAACUCAUUCAAACGAGCUCUUAUUGUUUCAUGAAGAUGUCUCGUGAUUAUUGCUUGGAAUGUGAGGGGGCUCAAUAAAUCAGGUAAUAUUAGGGAGACUAGAGUGAAAAGUAAUAAGGCUGAGGCUAUUAGAGGCAAAUUGAACAUGAGAGGUAAUUACUUGGAUUACUAUAACAAGGAUGACAACGGUAGGAUUUGGGUGUUUUGGAAAGACAACAACGUUAUCAUCAAGAUGAUCAAGAGCACUGACCAAAUGAUACACUGUGGGAUCUUUGAGUUAAAUUAGGACUUAAGCUAUUAGAUGAUUGCUAUAUAUGCCUUGAAUCAAUUAGAUCAGAUAAAGAAUCUUUGGAAAGACAUUGAAGAUAUUAACUGCAAACAAAAGGGUUCAUGGUUCUUAUUGGGAGACUUCAACAAUGAUUUGAUAUCUCAAGACAUGAUUGGGGGGAAUAUGGCAACUGAAAAAGGAGUACAUUGACCUGAUAAGAAUGAUGGAACAAAUUGGAUUAUAUGAAAUGGGCAGCAGUGGGGACUAUUUGGUCUAACAAACAAAGUGAGAAUUUUAUCUAUUUCAGAAUUGACAGAGUGCUAGGUAAUUUGGAAUGGCUUCAGGAUCAUAGUGACUAUGAUGUCACUGUUAUCCACCCUAGUGUGUCUGAUCAUGCCAUGCUUUGCUUGAAAAGGUAUGAUAUUCUUUGGAAAAUAAUAGGAAAAUAAAUAGUUUCAAGUUUAUUAUCAAUGUUGCUGAUUUUGAGGGCUUUUUUAGUGUUGUUGAGAGAAGUAGGAAUGCCCCCUAUUAAUGGUAUGCCAAUGUAUAUUCUUUGGAAAAAACUGCAAAGAUUACAACCUGUUCUUAAUGCUAUGAGUAAGCUUAUUACUGAUGUGAAGCUGAAUAUUAUGAAAGCUAGGGAAAACUUGCAAACAACCUAGUUGAAUCUUUGCAAUGACAAAAUGAAUAUGACCAAGAUUGAUCUGGUAAAGAAACAUACUGAGGAGCUUAUUAACUUGAAGGAGAUGGAGGAAAAUGUGCUUAAACAAAGGCUAAAUUGGAUUGGCUAAAACUAGGGGAUGGAAAUAAUAAGUAUUUCCAUGCCUCCAUUAAAGCUAGACACAAGAAGAAAAGUAUGAAUACUCUACAAAAGAAUGAUGUUACUCUUCUAACUACUCAAAAUGAUAUUCAAAGGGAGGUGUUGGAUUUCUAUACUAAUCUGAUGGAUACAACUGACAUUUUAUUGGAUGGCAUUGACAUUAAUGCCAUGAGAAAUGCCCCCCAAUUGAAUAAUGAUCAUAGGGAAAUGCUUAUUGCUCUAGUUUCUGAUUAGGAGAUUGUCAAGGCUCUUAAAGGUAUUGGUGAUCUGAAGUCUCCAGGGUUGGAUGGGUAUGGGGAUUACUUAUUUAAGAAAGAUUGGCAAGUAGUGAAGACUGAUAUGAUAAAUGGUGUCCAAGACUAUUUUAUUAAUGGUAGAAUCUACAAAGCUUUUAACUGCACCUUGGUGAACAUCAUCCCUAAGAGUAUGGAGGCAAAAAUUAUUAGGGAUUAUAGACCUAUUUCCUGUUGUAUCACCAUCUAUAAGAUUAUCUCCAAAGUUCUAACUUCUAGAAUGAGUAAUAUUUUGGAGAGUAUUGUUGAUAAGAACCAGGCUGCAUUUGUCCCAUGCUAAGAUAUUCACAACCAUAUCCUUUUGUCUUAUGAGCUUAUUAAGGGCUACACUAGGAAGGGAGGUACUCCUAGAUGUAUGAUGCAGGUGGCCAUUCAAAAAACCUAUGAUUAGUUGAUUGGAAUGUUAUGGAGUGUAUUCUUAAUGAUAUUAGGUUCCUUAGACUGUUCACUAAUUAGAUUAUGCUUGUUGUUUCUUCUGUCUCUUACAAGUUCAAUGUCAAUGGAGAUUACUUAGGCAUUAUGCUGGCUAAAAGAGGGUUGAGGUAGGGUGAUCCCAUCUCACCUUUGCUCUUUAUCAUUGUCAUCGAUUACUUGAACAUAAUUUUACAUAAAAUGCAGAGGAACAACAACUUCAAUUUCCAUGCCAAAUGUGAAAAACUAGGCCUUGCCAACCUUUGCUUUGUUGAUGACCUACUGUUGUUUUCUAGAGGGGGCAUUAUGUCAGUUGAAAUUAUGAUGAAGUCUUUCAAGAGCUUUUCUAACUGUACUGGACUCAGAUCCAACCCUAUAAAAUGCCACGUCUAUUUUGGUGGGGUGGAGCACAACACUAGAGAUAACAUUAUGCAUAUUAGAUCCUUUAAAGAAUGAGUCUUUCCCUUCUUGUAUUUGGGUGUGCCUAUGACAGGUAAGAAACUCACACUUCAUCACUAUAUGAAUCUUAAUGAUAGAAUAUUAGGGAGAAUAACACAUUGGAGUGCUAGCUUGUUGAAUUAUGCUAGAAGAAUUCAACUCCUGAAAAGUGUCACCUUUGAUGUUAUGAACUAUUGGAUGCAGUGUUUCCCUUUCCCCAAGUUUGUGAUUCAUAAAAUAGAUGCAAUUUUUAGAACUUUCAUGUGGACAGGUGGUACUGAAUUGAGUAGGAAAUCCCAUAUUGCAUGGAAGUCUGUAUGCAAACCUAAAAGUCAAGGUGGCCUGAACAUGAUUAAUCUCGAAGUUUGGAAUAAAACUAACUUGGUGAGGCUUUUAUGGAAUCUUAAUGGUAAGUCCGAUAGCCUUUGGGUUAAAUGGGCCCAUACGUACCUAUUGCCUGAAACAACAACAUUUGAUGGAUGUCGGAGUGAGGAACAACUCCUCUUAGAUUAUUAAAUCCAUCCUGAAUCAAAGAGACAACAUCCACCACUUGCAGGCUUGGAUUGAGUUGCAGCAAACCUAUAAGUUCAGCAUGAAGAAAAUGUAUAAAGCCCUCCUUGAUGACACUCAAAAUGUUUAUUGGAGAUCUUUAUUUUAUGGGAAUAUGACGCGCCCUAGAGCUCUUUUCACCAUUUGGCUUGCUUUCCAUGAAAGGCUUGCAACAAAGGGCAGACUGUCUAGGUUUGGCAUGACUGAUAGUAUCAAUUGUUAUUUUUGUAAUGCAACAGAAACCCAACACAAUCUUCUCUUUGUUUAUCCUUAAAAGAAGGUCACAUGGGAGAAGAUUCUUGACCGGGUUCAAAUGCAGCAUACUCCUGCUGAUUGGAGGAACAAGAUUAGUUGGAUUAUCCGACGUAGCAAAGGCAAAGGAUAUAAAGUUGCCACUCUAAAACUUGCAGCAACAAAAACUAUCUAUGCAGUUUGGCGCUACAGGAAUGAUAAAUUUUUUGGUAAUGAUGUGAGUAAUACUAAUAGAGUAGACAUCAUCAUCUAUACGAUUGUGGUUGUUUCUUGAUAUUUGUCAUGGUUAAUUUGUAGGCGGGAUUUAUGCAAUCACCUUGUACAUAUCAUUUUUGAAUUAAUCCAAGUCUUGAUUAAAAAAAUGUAAUAAAACAUUUUAUUAUUUUCUUUACUAAAUUUGAUAACAAUAAAAACCAUAAGAUAUUUAAAAAAAAACUUAAAAAUAGGCCGUUGAGAAUUGAUGAUACAAAAAGUUAAUUCAAGUUGUUGUUGUUAGUGGUGGUCGUGUUGUUGUUGUUGCUGUUGUUAUUGUUGUUGCUGUUGCUAUUGUUGUUACUAUUGUUGCUAUUGAUGUUGUUGUUAUUAUUAUUAUUAUUAUUAUUAUUAUUAUUAUUAUUAUUAUUAUUUAUAAUAAUAUUAUUAUCAAUGAAAUUUAAAAUGAUUUUGUAUUAUUAAAAACACAAAUAACAUAUAUGUUGUAGCAAUUUAGUCUUUAAGUUCACCAUUUAGUAUAUUUGAGAUAGUAUUCUUAUAAAAGUACAUUAUGUUAAUAUUUUUUUAAGGAUAACUGCGUCUAUAAACAUACUUAUAUUAUUAAAAUGAAUUCAAAGUGCCUACACAAUAGUUUCAUGUUAUUGUUAGCCUCACAAUUGUUAAUUUAUUAUCUAUUAUAAAAUAUUAAUUCUUAAUUAUGAUAUAGUUUAUUGAUAACUUAUAUGUUUCAUGCUAUAUCAAUUUAUAAAAUCUGAUGUGAUAUUAUUUAAAAAAAUUUAAUUUAUAAAAUCUGAUGUGGUACUAUUCAAAAAAAAUUAAUAUUUAUAUUUUUAAUAUCUAUCUUAACAUAAUAUGUAACAUUUUAUUUAUAAUUAUUUUUCAAAACACAAUUAUUUAUAUUCUACCUAUCAUUUUUCUAAAUUAUAAACUCAAUACAAAAUAAAUAGCAUAAAUGGUUAUAUAGAAUAUGUAACAUUCCAUUUAAAAAAUAAUUAUAAAUGAAACGUUCCAUAUUAUGUUAAGAUAGAUAUUAAAAUUUUUAUUUUACAACAACAUUAUAAUUAUAUAAAUACUCAAAUCAUAAUCCAAUCCAUAAAAAUUCAUUCAACCAUCAUUCUCACUAUUUUUUUAAAUUAUAAAUUCAAUACAAAAUAAAUAGCAUGGAAAAUUAUAUAGAACGUGAGUGGUUUGAACGUGGAACAUCUUUAUCCACAAAAUAAUAAAGAAUAAACAUUCUUAGAGAUAUUGAAGUUCUUUUACACUUAUUUACAUUUUAAAAUAAAUUUCUAAUGUUUUAUUUGCAUUUCUACUAUUCAAACAUAUUUUCUUACACUUAAAGUUUUACUCUCUCUUUUUAUCAUCUUCAACUUAUAUCUUUUUUACAAAAAAUUUAAUAAUAAAUAAGAUCACAAAUUUAUUAAUAAUAUAUAAAAUUAAAAUUUAUAUUUUAUAAUAUUAUUUUAAAAAAUUAUCUCAACUCCAGCCCAUCGCGCAAGUCUCAUUCAUUCUAGUUAUUUUAUUAUUAGUGUAACAUCAAAGACGUGUAAAAUACAAUCAUUGUUAUAUAUGGCAAAACCUUAUGUCUACAAAUAUGCAUUUCAUCAGAAAAAUGUCUACACGUAUGUAAGCUGAACCAAAAGUUAAUAAUAUAAUAGAGGAUAAUUAAGUCUAUAAACAUAGUUAAAUUAAUAAAAUUGAAUUAAAAUACCAAUAUAAAUAGAUCUAUGUAGCUUCAUGCUUCUUCACAAGCCAAACAAAGAAAGAGAGAGAGAGAAAGUAAGAAAGAGAAAAAGAGUUAGAAUGGAGUUGAUGAAUAAGAAGGCAAUGAUGAAGUUAGCUCUAAUGGUUUUCCUCUUGAGCUUCGCCGCAAAUGUUGUUAACGCUCGUUUCGAUUCAACUUCCUUCAUAACUCAAGUGCUCUCCAAGUCUUAGUUUAAGUUAUUACAGAGUAUUUAAUAUACACAUAAAUAUAGAAGUUUAUUAUAUAUAUAUAUAUAUAUACUUUAGUUAUUUCAAGAAGGACAAGACAAUAUUAGCAGAGAAAGUUAUAAAUGAAGUCCACACUAUUAAUACGUAGUCGCUAAUCUUCCACCUGUCCUCUCUUAAUCUUAAAUGAUAGAGAUAAAUAAAGUUCGAUUCACGAUAAAGAUGGUAUUUUAAUAAUGGUCUUUACUUGGUGGAGCUUACUAAUUCUUCCUCCCUCUUUUACCUGUUUAAAAUUUGACCAUUUUCCUUCAUCCGUUAGUUGAACUUUUUUGAAGGUAGUGAUUUUUCCUUUGCAAUUUUUUGCAAGAAAGGUUUUCUUUUAGAGAAAAUAUAUUUAAGUGGAGGGUGAUUGUCGAUCCAGUUGGAGUCUCUUGUCUUUUGUCUGGGAGAAAAUAAUAAAAAAUUGAAUUUGGAAUAUUUCAGUACAAUUCUUUAUAUCUAUUCCGAUGUAAUUUGGAAUGUUAAUAAAUUCUCUUUCUCUCCGAGCAUAUUUUUAUAUAUAUAUAUAUAUAUAUAUAUAUAUAUAUAUUCAACUAUACAUGCGUCAAUUGUAAUGGCGCAUACUCUUACAUUUUAUAUACAUGCGCCAUUACAAUUGCCGCAUGCUCUUACAUUUUAUAUACACGCGUCAAUUGCAAUGACGCAUGCUCUUACAUUUUAUAUGCAUGCGCCAAUUGCAGUGGCGCAUGAGUAUAAAUUGAUUAAUGCAUGCGCUAUAACAUAUGACACAUUAGUUCAUUUAAAAAAAAAUGAUUACAUUGAUAAAUACUUUAAAAUUAUGACUAUUUUCGUAUUAUUUUUGAAAAUAAUAAUUAUUUAAAAUAAAAUCCGAAGUUAUCAUAUAUUCUCUUUAUAUAGUGUUUGCUUUAAUAAUCAAAAGUUAUAUAAAUAAUGUAUUUUUUUUAUUUUACUAUCUUUUAUUCUUUCUACGUCUUCUUUAAUCUGCCGUCCUUACUAUAUUCUUAAUUUCAUUCUUUAUUUUUUUCUUUUUCAGGUAGGGAUGUUCGCGGUGCGGUUUGCGCGGGUUUUGCGAUAAAAAUCACCCGAACCGCAAGAGAAAAAACAUGCGGUUCGGUUUGGUUCGAAUGAAUUUUAGAAAUAAAACCAAACCAAACCAAACCAAAUUAAUGCGGUUUGGGUUGGUUCAGUUGAUUCGGUUUUUUAUAAUAUUUUUAUUGAGCCAUAUAUACUCCUAUAAAUAACGACAUAACUUUGUGUUUAGUCAUUCAUAUAUUACUAAAUAACAUCAAAAUUCAUCAUAUUUAGACAAAAACGUUUCAUAUAUACUCCUAUAAAUAACGACAUAACUUUGUGUUUAGUCAUUCAUAUAUUACUAAAUAACAUCAAAAUUCAUCAUAUUUAGACAAAAACGUUUCAUUCAAUAUACAAAAAACCAGAUUAGGCAAAGUGGAAUAAAUGACAAAUAUAAAUAGUAGCAUAAAAUAAUAUCAAAGACAUUAUAAUAAAACAUAAAAAAAACAUAUGAGAUGAGAGAUUAGAGAAGAUGAAAAAAAGAACAUAAGAGAUGUGAGAUUGAGAAGAAAAGUGCAAUAAAAAUGUAAUUGGAAGAGAAAAUAGUAACAUAAAAGAUAAAAAAGAAAGAACAUAAUAAAGGACUUAUUAGAGUAGAAUAGGCGAGACCUACAUGGAAAAUAAGAUGAGAAGAAUGUAUGAUACUACUAUGAUAGAUUUAAGAAGGUUGAAAUUGAAACCCUAAGUGUGAUUAAGAGAAAAUCGUUUGUAAUGGUAAGGUUAAGACAUAUUAGGUUUGAGGUUUGGGUUAGAUGUGGGAUAAGUGAACUUUGGGUUGUAACAUAAUGCGGUUUGGUUUGGUUUAGUUCGGUUUGCAAAAUACAAACCGCAAACCAAACCAAACCGUACGGUUUUAUUAAAAGAUGAUCCAAACGAAUCCGAACCAAAUACGGUUUUUUGCGGUUUCAGUUUGAUUUGGUUUGGUUUGGUUUGCGGUUUUCUAUUGGGUUGGUUUGGUUUUGAACACCCCUAUCUCCAGGUGUUGCAUAAUGCGGAGGGAUUAAAGCCGAUGAAUAUAUAUUAGGAAUCACUUAAUUUUUUUUACUCCAACAUUGUUAAUUAUUUGUUUCGUUUAAUCUAUAAUCUUCUAUUAUCCUUGAGUACCUAAUGUGUGCUUUAGAUAUGGUCUUUUUAUCCUUCACAUCAAUAGUCAUAGUAAUUAAUUUUGAGGUUAUGACUAAAAAAUAAUUCUAAUUAAUUUUGCUUUAUUUAAUUUUUUUUAAUUUGACAUAUUAAAAUUUCUUUGUGAAUACAGGACUUUUGAAUUUUUUUAUUUGAGACACAACUAAUUUUCAGUCAAUGCAUAUAAAUCAGACACACAUAAUUAUAUUGACUCUUUUUAUACAAUUUGAUGGAGCGAUCAUGAUAGACGUGCGGCUGUGCAUUGUUAGUUGCACUCUUUCACCUUCAUUUUCAUUUUUUCCAUUUUAUAUCAUUUGCUUCCUUCUUCCAUGUUUUUAAUUUUUUAAAUUUUGUUUAAGUGUUAGUAAAUAUUAUUUUUGUUAACUCAAUUUAAAUUUAAUCUAUACAUAAAUUAUUUUAAGUGGUGUGUAUGCUUUUAUUUUCAAUGCCAAAAUUACUGAUUAAUUAAAUUUGGAAAGUUCCUCUUAUUCUAAAUUAAAAAUAUUCAAAUAUUUUAAAUAUAUUUCUUUAAUGAUAUGAUAUUUUGUCAUGUAUAUGUAGUUUUUUAAAUCUUAAGAACGUAUUGACAAAUAAAUAUAUGAAGAAUUGAUUCGAAUCUUUAUAAAAUAGAAAAAAUUAUAUUACAUUAUUUAUUAUUUAUUUUAUUUUAUUUUUUUAAAAAAAAUCUAAUUUAAAAGUCUUAUAUUUUUUUCUUUACUACGAAAAACAAUCAUAAGGAAAUAAAUAACUUGCAUUGCUUCCUGUUGUGCCGAAAUAUUAAAAUCUAAUUUGCAAUUGCUAUAAAGUAUCAUAUAAAUGGUAUAUUGUUCUUUCCUUAACAAUGGAAUGCGGUACAAUGCUUAUUGAUUUUGCAAUUAUUGUACACUAUCUAUAUAUAAAAUGCAUAUUGGUUUGACAUUUUUUUACGGACAUAUUCAUGAGGAAGGAAAAAUACAACAUGUAAGUGUUCUUUUCAAAGACAGUGUUGGUAUGAACAUGAAUCAAUUAAAAAAAAACAAUAUUAGUGAUUUGAUUGUAAAGUUCUCUUCCUUUUGUUUAUUAUCUAAAGUUAAUUUGCAUAAAUGAUAAUAAUUGUGUAGCGUUCGGUAAAUCGAUAAAUCGAUUGAAGGAUAAAUUAUUUUUUUUUUAAAUUUAAAAUAUGAAUUUGUUAGUUCCUAAAGUAGUCAAAUUAAAUUUUGAAAUUUUAAUUUAUACAACUCUGAUUGGAAUAAAUAAUAUUAUUGUAAUAUAGAAUUUAAUUUAUUUGUCAAAUUUUGAAUAAAGUAUUAUAUUUAUAUUUUAAAAUUAUUUAUUAAAGUAGAGUUUUUAAUCAUCAAAGUGACCAAUUCAUAAAAGUUUAUAAUUUUAAAAAUUUACAAAUAAGUUUCGAUUAUGAACUUCAAUCUAUUAUUUAAUUUUGAAAUGAAAAGUUUAUUAUUUAAUUUAAAAUUAUUUGAGUUAGAAAUUUGUUAAUUAAAAUGGUCAAAUUAAUUUUAUGAUUCUAAAUUAUGCAAUUGAAGUUGAUUUGGAUGCUAUGUGUAGAGCUGUCAAAAUGGGAUAAAGCCCAUGAGCCGGUCCAUCGAGCCCGAAAAAAUUUUGGGUUUGGACCUUAUUUUUGGAGCCCAUAUAUUUUCGGGCCUUUUUUGGUCUGGCUCGAAAAAGCCAUAAAAAAUGGGACGGCUCGUAUGAGCUAUGGGUAGCCCAGCAACCUCAAAUAAUUUUUUUUGAAAAAUAAUUAACUUAUUUAGCACAUGAAUUUAGUCCACCUAUUAAUAUUCAAUUAUUCAACAAAUUCAUUAGUAAAUGUAAUUACACUGUAUUCAAUUACUUAGCCCAUUAAUAAUUGCACUUAUUCAAUUAUUAUUUAGUAAAUGUAAGUUUGAGAUCCAAACAACACCAUAGCAUACCUAUUAGAUGUUUUUGAAUUUGAUUUUGUACGCAUUUGACGACAUCUAUAUUUAGUUAUGAUGUUUUCAUAUUCAUUAUAUUAUUAUAAUAUUUUUCUUUCUUUAUUCAUGAUUUUACUACCAAAAUUUUUGGUGUUUUUAAAUGGUAUGAAAUGUGCUAAAGUUUUUUUAAUUAUGCAAAUAAUAGUUUUUUAUUUUAAUUGGCUUUUUUACGUGUUUUUGCAACAUUGCAGGACUCACAAUAAAAUAAAACUAAUUCUGAAAUAGUUUGAAAUUCAUUCGAUAAUUAAUUAGUUGAAUUUCAUUCAUAAGACAAAUUAAGUUUUGACCUAAACCUUUCGUAACUAAAUGAGUUAAUUGGUAAUAAAUAUGUAGUCUUGAACUGGGAAAAAAAACUUUUAAUUUAUGUGAGCAUGUAAUCUUUAGUGUCUUGAAGUCAUUUAUUUGUAAACUCAAAAUGAUUUUAGUAAUAGAAUAAAAACAAUUUAAAAAAAAGGAUAAUAUGAUUAUUUACAAAAUAAGGAGUUUUUUUUUAAAUGGGUCCAUUUAUGAUCGGGCCCGUUUAGGACCGGGUAGCCCGCAGGCCAGACAGGGAUGUCUGGGUAGUAAAAUUGGAGCCCAUAUUCAAUAUGGGAUUUUUAGGCCUGACCCGAAAAAACCCGAGACCCACCAGGGACAGCCUGUUUAGGACCGGGUAGCCCAUUUUGACAACUCUAGUUAUGUGUUUAAUAAAAUUUAUUAUUAUUAUAAAAUAUAAAGAAAUUAAAGUAUUUUUUUACACACUUGUUCUUGUAUAUCCAAAGAUAUACAUUCAUGUUUUAAGUGAUUUUAUUGUCCAUUAAAGUCUGUUUAUUUAGCAUCAUUAGAAUUUUUUAAAAUGUAUUUAAGUUUUAUUUAAAGGUAGACUUUUAUACUUGUUUAAAGAUGAUUAGUUUGAAUCCAUGAAAUUUAUUCAAAACAUAUUAAUGUAUGAGCAUGUUUUAAUGCUUGUGGUUAAUAGAAAUGUGUUACGGGCUUGAACAUUAUAUUGAUAAUGGAUGAAAAGCCUAUGGCGAUUACGGAGGACACUACAUAAGAGAAAUGUCUCUCUUUGAGAGUUAGGAAAUGUCCAACCGACUAUCUUUGAACUUAAUGGAAAAGGACAAUUCGUAAAGUUUCUCGAAAGUCGUGGUAAAUAUAAACUAUAUACUAUGCAUGACAAACCCCAACAAAACGGUGUUGUUUAAAAGCCGAAUGUACUCUCAUGGAAAUGAUCAGGUCAAUUUUAAAUAUAGCAAGGUAUUAUUAUCAUUGUGGACAUACGCAUUAAGGACCGUUGCAUAUUUGCUUUAAUAGGAUUCCUAACAAGAUAGUUCUUAAAACUCCUUAUGAAUUGUAGACAUGAAGAAAACCUAGUUUAAAGUAUCUUCAUGUUUUGGGCUAUCAAGGAAAAGUAAACAUGUAUAACCCAUAUGAAAAAGUAUAACUUUAUUGUCCUAAUCGUAGUAUGAGAAUAAUGGAAUAUGGUAAUUAUCAAUUUAUUGAAUAUGGUAAGUUCAGUGGGAGUGAGGAAUCAUAUAAAAUGGAUAUUAUGGAGACUUAUGGAACAUCUUCUUCACCUAAAGAAUCUCUCUAUGUUGGUGUCCAUCUAGUUGUAUUAUCGUUAUACAACACAAAGAAACAACAUAUAAUUAUUCACUUGAGCAUGAAUGUGACUUGAGCAUUGAUAAGGAUUCAGUCUCAUUCACACUAGCCAUAGAAAACUGCAAAGAAGGUUCUUAGGUACUUACAAGACACUAAAGAUUACAUGCUCACAUAUAGAAGGUCAGACCAACUUGAAAUAGUUGACUACUCGGAUUUAAAAUUUGUGAGAUGUGUGGACUCAAGAAAAUCCACAUUUAGAUAUGUUUUUCUUCUAACCGGAUGAGUAAUAUCACGAAGACCGUAAAAUAACCUAUAAUUGCUAUUUCUACUAUGAAGGAAAAAUUCAUGGCAUGCUUUGAAGCCACAAUUCAACCACUGUGGUUUUGGAAUUUACCCUUACGGCUUGGUAUUAUCGACAAUAUAGUUAGGCCACUAAGGAUUUAUUGAUAAUUCAAUAGCUAUCUUCUUCUUUAAGAAUGAUAAGCAUUUAACGGAUGUUAAAUACAUGAAAUUGAAGUACUUAUUAGUGAAAGAAAAAGUGCAGAAACAAAAAGUAUCAUUUGAAUACAUUGGUAAAGAUUUAAUGAUAGCGGAUCAGUUAACCAAAAGUUUACCGUCCAAGACAUUCCAUGUAGAAAAGAUAGGCAUUAUGUAAAAGUCAUUCUUAACAUUAUAAUAUAAUCGUUAUAUAUACAUGUAUAAUUUAAUGUCAUAUUGUAUGACACUUGUGAAUUCAAUUAAGAAUAUAUUUCUACUUAGUUUGUUAUCCAUAUUAUAUUUUAUACAUUAUUGUUAAUAUGUGAUGACAAAUGUGCCUUUGAAGAGACAUGAAAGAUACAUAAUUGUAUCCCUUAAAUAUUUAAAUUGGAUUGAUUUGUGAUACAUGGAAGAAAUCAAGUUGAUGAAUGACUUGUGACCGCCAUGAUUCGAUCAUUUCAAUUUAUUAAAGAUAAUGACUUGGUGCUUCUAAUAAAUGAUGAACAAUUAUGGUAUAAAAUCGAAAUAUCAAGUUGUCACAUGAGUCAAGUGGGAGAUUGUUGGAUUAAUUUGUUAAUCCAUUAAAUAUGACUCAUGUAAAUUAAAGAUUGAUUUAAAUAAAAGAUGAUUGUUUAGGUUGAUGGAUAAUUAAAUCAAUUGAGUUUUUUUUAGUUUCAAAAUAAAAUUUAAAUCUCUGUUCUCUCUUCAUGACUAUUGGGACAUGUCUGUUGCAAUAAGAUGUGACCGUUAUAAUAAGAUGCCUAUAAAUAGGCACCAUUAGGAAAGCAACACAAACGGUUCUCAUUAUUUCUGAUUAUCUAUAAAAUAAUAAGAGAAAAUAUAUUAAUCAUCAAAGAUACAUAAAAGAAGAAGGAAGAGAGGAGAAAAUAAUUCGGAUCAAGAAUCAAGAACUGGACAAGAACCGGCGUCAUAAAUCUGGGUAUGUCUUUUUUUAAUGUUUUUCAUAGAAAUUAGAGCACCGUAAAAAUCAUAAUAUCAAGAUUCUAAAUAUGAAAUUUUCUAACAAUUUUUCCAUGAUUCGGAACGUUGUUGUUUGAACUAUUUGAAGUGUUCCAAAUGAUAUUAUUUCUUUGGUUCCUAAACAAAAUUUGAACGAAGUUAAGGGAAAACAAUUAUUUUUCUAUCUUAAAAAUGGUUCUUAGUUAGAUCACCGGAGAACUCGUGUAUUAUCUCUUAUUGAUUUCAGAAUAUUGUCUUCUUCCUUAAUCAGUAACAGAUCAAGAAUUUUGUGGUUUUGAUGCUUCACUUGAAAAUCACUGUUCUAUUAAUAGUGGUUUUUAUGACUUGAAUUCUAGCUUCUCUUUAUUAAAAGAUGAGGCUUUUAUAAUUGUUUGAGGAUUCUCUCUUGUGUAGUAUUUGUAUUGGCUUUUUAGCUUCUUUUUUUUGUUGUUUAUGUAGGCUAUUUUGUUGCUUAUUUGUUUUUAGAAUGAUAAAUUUGGCAUAUAUUAAGCUAUGAAUACCUUUUAUUUAUAUUUUGUUGGGUUAUUUAUCUAACACUUAUUAUUAAUAUAUUAAAUUUAAAUGUAUUUUUGGUCUCCGUUGAUAUUUUAAUUUUUUUUAGUCUUGUAAUUUAGAAUUAAAUUUAGCUUUUUGGUCUUUUUUUUUUACAAUUCUUGCAAUUUUUUUAAUGUAGCGCCACCUAAGCCAAAUAUGUCAUGUCAUAGUAUCUAUAUGUACCUCAUCAUGUAAUAAGAUAUUAUUUAAAUCAAAUUGAUGUAAAUGUCAUAUUGAUGCAAAAGCUAUGGAAGGUAUGAUUAUACUGAAUUUUGCAAUAGGUGAAUGAGUGUCAGAGUAAUUCAAUCCAUUUAUCUGACUAUAGCCUUUGACAACUAACUUUGACUUGAAUCUGUCGAUGCUCCAAUGUAAAUUAUGCUUAAUUUUAUAGAUCUAUCUGCAGUCUGGUUUAAUGUUAGGUGGAGGGUCAAUAAUUUCCCAAGAGCUCAUUUUGUCAAGAGCAUCAAGCUCAUGAGAGUCGACCAAAAGCAUAUGCUAGAAAGCCAAAAGCGAAACAUGCACAGCCUUACCAUCUUUUUAACCUAUAUAUCCCAUUAUACCACUCUUUGAAAAAAAUACCAAAAUACCAUGUUUUGAGAAAUCUUCAACACACAGCCGCCAAUCCAUUGGGCGGUUGAGUGUAAAAAAUUAAUGGACCGCCCAUUCAUUUGGAGCCUGUGUUGAAAACGUAAUUUUUUUUUCCAAAACCAACAUUAUAUGUAAUAUAUUAAUAUUUAGUAUUAUUACAUUAUUAAUUAAAUUAUUAUUGAUUUUAUAUUAAUGAUUUUGAUUUUUCAGUAAUCAACAUUAUUAUUAAAAUUAAUUAUUAUUAAUGAUUUUGUAAAAUUAAUUAUUAUUAAUAAAUUUUGUAGAUAAAAUAAUUGUUUAAUUUAUAACAAAUAAUGAUAUAUGUUACAAUUAAUAGUGAUUUAAUAUAAAUUUAUUAUUAUAAAUUAUACAUAAUAAUUUUUUAGUAAAAUAAAAUAUUAUUAAUAAGUGGGUUAGAUAAAAUAUUGUUUAAAUUAAUAAAUAUAAUAUAAUUUAUAAUUAAUUUUGAUUUAGUAUAAGUUUAUAUUAAUAAAUAUUGUAUAAACUUAUAUAAACUUAUAAGAAAUAUUAAUUAGUAAAAUUUAAGAAUUAUUUAAUUUAGUUAAAAAUUAUUUCUUAUAAAUUAAAGUUGUAGGUAUAAAUAUUUAUUUUAAAUAUAUAAAAUAAGUAAAUUGCAUAUAAAUUAGAAAAAUGAUAAAAAUAAAUACAAGGAUUUUUAUUUAUUGAAAUAAUAACAAGAAACAGGUCAACCUACAAGGUGUUGGUGUGAUUGCGGAAAGUUUCAAGCUUUUCGAGUUCCUUGUUCCCAUGUUAUCGGCGUGUUCAAGAUACACCAGGACGCAUACGGUCUUCUGUCCACCGUUGUUACCAAGGUUUCAAACCUAUUUGGGGUUUACAGUAAUAGUUCCCAGUGCUGCCAUUACGAGUGCUAUGGGGCCUACGGUUUUUGAAGGAAUGCACGAUGCCAUAAUCGGUUUAGCCGAGAAAGGGAACAGAACGCCACCGGACAGGAGCAAGGAAGAAGGAAAGAAAAAGGAAGAGUGGGGGGGGUGGCAGCGCGCAGCCGGGACCACGGAUAGAGGCGAUACCGCAAACAAAAGAGAAAAAAAACACAGAAAAAAAAAAAAAAAAAAAAAAAAAAAAAACAAAAACAAAACCAUUUCCUCUAAACUGCCUCAAUUAAAAUUCCAAUUCCUUAACAUUAACUAGACAGAUGUAAUUGAUGUUCCGACUCAAUGCCAUCAGCCACAUACGUUUGCUUUGACCCGGAUGGUAAUUCAGAACCAAAGUCAUAAUCCUUUCAGAAACUCUAACCAUCUUCCUACUGUCGCAUAUUCAGCUUCUUCUGAUCAAAACAAAUCACUUUAAACUUUUAUGGUCACGUGAAAAACCUCAAAUCUUGACCCGUACAAGUAAUAGCCUCCAUAACUUCGAAAAAAUACCACAGCUGCCAACUCUAAAUCGUGUGUCGGAUAGUUCCUCUCAUGAACCUCAGUUGUCUCGUAAGCAUAAGCUACAACCUGCUUAUUCUGCACCAUAAAACACCACCCAAACCAAAAAUGAAGCAAUCACAGUAAACCUCAAAUGGUCUCUGAUGGACUUGGUAUAUCAGAAUAGGAAGCAGUAGUUAACUUCUUCUUUAACUCGUUGGAAACCUUCUUACAUAUUUUGAGUUCCCAAAACAAACGCUUGCCCCUUUCUAUCGUCAACAUCAGUCAACGGUAACGCCAAGCUUAGGGGAAAAUCCUCAAUGAAGUUUCCUAUAAUAACCUACAAGUCAAAGAGAAAAACUUCCUGUAUCAUCAAAAUCUGACUUCGGAGCUUCCCACUUCGAUUACCGCUUCUAUCUUAGAAGGCAUCAACAACAAUACCACCUCUGAAUUCGCAUACAAGAAAAGAACCUCUUCUAACCAAAAUGUCACAACUUGGACAGUUUAGCAAAUAACUUCAUUUUUCUCGUAGAACUCCUUAAAACCACUCUCAAAUGUUCAGCAUGCUCUUCCUCAGACUUUCGAAUACACCAACAAUAUCGUCAAUAAACACCACAACAAAACUUUGUCUAGCGUACGAGAUGGAAAAUCCUAUUCAUAUACUCCAUGAAUACUGCCAGGCGCAUUUAGUCACCCCAAAAAAGGCAUUACAGCAAUACUCAUAUGUCGCAUACCUUGUUCUGAAAGUAGUCUUUUUGAUAUAUCCUCAGUUUUCACACGUAUCUGGAUGAGUACCCUGAUUUCUCAAAAUCUAUUUGCUGAAACACACUCGCACCAACCAACCGGAUCCAUCAAAUCAUCACCAGUCGGGCAAAGGCGGAUACGCUCUUUGAUCGUCAACUUUAUUCAGCUUGACCUGUAGUCCAACACAACCUUCAUAGUACCUUUCUUUCUUCUUAGACCAAUAACACUGGUGCGCCCCACGCGACACAAUCGGACGAAUUAAAUUUCGUUAUCCACAGAUCUUCCAACUGACUUCCGUCAAAUUCAGUUAACUCGACAGCAGACAUACCGUACGAGCCAUUCGACACCGCCUAGUACCAGGUACCAAAUCAGAUCGAGAACUCAACUUCACGCUCUUGCGCGCCGUUUAAUUCAGCACUUCCUUCAGGAAAACACAUCAGGGAAAAUCACACACCACCGGCUAGAUCGCAAAAUCACCAGUGUAUCUUUUUAAGCCGUCUUUAAGUCUCGCUAACAGCAUAACAACUCUGCCCCAUCUACUACUGCCUCAUUCACCUGCCUUGCCUUGAUAGAAACAGAACUCUUUCCCUUCCUCGAAUCUCAGGAAAGAUCACCAGUCUUAGGCAAAAGCCAGUUCGCAUUAUAAAACUCGGUUAAAACAAGCCAAACCAGUUCAUACCCAAGCAUAACAUCAAUCUGCACUACGUGGAAGACACAACGAGCGUCUAUCCCAUAGUCUCUACCAACAAAUACUAAAAGAAAAUACAAUUUAAACAAACUGAAAAAAGAAGUAGUGUCACUGAACCCUUCGCAGGCAGGUAUCAAUCACCAUACUCGCCAUGCAUCCUGCAGAUAUCUCUAAUUUAAUAUUCACGCACAUCCAAAGAUAUAAACGAAUGAGUCGCACCUGUGUCAAUAAUCAGCUACAAGAGGGGAAAGCAUAAUAUGAACACCGUACCUCGGAUCCAAACGCAUUUACAUCUACAGAAGUCUCAGAAACCGAUUGUUUAAAGCAAAAGACCUUGCCUCCUGACUGGUUACCUCUCUCUUCGGCUAGGACACUGUGGACUGAUAUAUGACCCACCUCUCCCACAGUUGCAAAACAAGUCACAGUCUCUCAACGGCACUUGUUGCAAGCCAAGUGGCCACCUUUUCCCACACUUUGAAACACUUCUUUCUCAGUACUGGCUACACUUCGAUGGGAUACGAAUGUCAAGCACUGAACACGUCAUCUGAAAACACUUAGCAGUGGGCAACCUGGAGUCUCCGCCACUAGGCCUCAUUCAUUACCCACUCUGUCUCUCGGUGAAACCUUUACACUUGGCAAUACGGUUUCCCCGAUCAUAUUCUGAUUUCUUCCGGCCCUUCUCCCUUACUUUCGAACCCCUCGCGUUAGAUUCGGCUCCUGCCGCUUUCCUGCGAUCUUUAAGGUGGGUUUCUAAUACAUGAGUGUUACCACCCAAAUUGCAACAUACAUGAUAAAAGUACCUACACCCAUCGGAUAAAAAGUAAGAUAUCCAUAUAAUUUCAAUUAUGCCCCCAAGUUACCUCAAUGAAACUGCGCCCUAUAGGAAUAGCCCUUACCCAACGUUCCUUUGAGCGUACGGCAUGUGUAUUUUAUAUCUCCACUUGAUUAUGCGACUUUAAUAACUCAUUAAUUAGACUGGGAAUCUCCUCACGAGGACGUUAAUUAUAAAAACAAAUCUGUGUCUCACUAAUUCCUUGAAACAAAACUUCACACAUUUUUGAAUAAUUCGAUUGUAACCCAGUGACCUCGAAUCAGGUAGGCGGAGUGGAUAAUAAUCUUUCUGACAGUUCUCCAUGUGACUUCAGCCCAGAGCUACCAUACUUCAAUUUAAAAUAGUAUACUGUACAAGACCUGAUGUGCCUCUGUCUUCAACAUUUGUGUUAAAGAGAGCUCUAUUUUGCUAUUCUUCCUCGUGACAUCGGCUCGAGAAUAGUUAACUUUCCUCCAGAAAUGGCUCUCUCUUGCAAGACACGCGAGUCGACAAGAAUGAGUCUCAAGGCUGAAAAUUGCCAGCAAACUUCCAAUCUCAGUUCGGUGGUAAGCAAAACCCCCGACCAAUUCAAUUCUGCUUCCUCAGGGAACAGUAUUGAAUGUGUACGAACGGCUGCACCUUGCUGACUGUUUCAUCGCACAACUCAGUACACUCGGCGAAGGAUCCUUCUCGAUUCUCUUUCAACCACUUCUUGAGGCACCAUUCGAUGGGAUCUGUAUGCUCCCUUUGAAAUCAUUUGGAGGAUUUGUUCUUCGUGGUAUUAUUAGCUCAUGCUCUAGGUGGUUUGUGGGGGAGCGNNNNNNNNNNNNNNNNNNNNNNNNNNNNNNNNNNNNNNNNNNNNNNNNNNNNNNNNNNNNNNNNNNNNNNNNNNNNNNNNNNNNNNNNNNNNNNNNNNNNAAACAGGGAUUGAAUACCAAGAACCGUAGAAUUUGCACAAUACAGGGAUCCACCAAUGGAAACGUCCACUGGGAUUUGAUAUUUAUUGCUGGGUAUAUAUUUUUUGGUUUUGUUUUUAAAGGGUACAACCACAUCCAGACAUCGCAACGACGAUGAAUGGGGGAAAGAAAUCACAACUAGAUGCCAACGGACAACUAGGAAAAACUCAACAUUUACCAAGACCUACGGAGAGGUAACCAGACAUUAAUGAAUGACUGGAAAGGAUACAACCAUUCGUCGACGGACGAAAUGGGAAAAACUCAACGUUCACCCAGACCAACGGAGAGGCAACCAACUGGGGACGACCAGGAAAAACUCGACGUUUAUCGAAACCAACGGAGAGGUAACCAGACAUUAACUGAUGAAUGGGAGGACUCGACCGGACAUCAACGGAUGAAUGGGAAAACUCGACGUUUACAGACAUCGAAAGAUGAUGUUUACAGACACCAAAAAGAUUGACCAGACAUUUACUGAUGAAUGGGAAUACUCGACGUUUACAGAUAUCGAAAGAUGAUGUUUACAGACACCAAAAAGAUCGACCAGACAUUUACUGAUGAAUGGGAAUACUCGACGUUUACAGACAUCGAAAGAUGAUGUUUACAGACACCAAAAAGAUCGACCAGACAUUUACUGAUGAAUGGGAAUACUCGACGUUUACAGACAUCGAAAGAUGAUGUUUACAGACACCAAAAAGAUCGACCAGACAUUUACUGAUGAAUGGGAAUACUCGACGUUUACAGACAUCGAAAGAUGAUGUUUACAGACACCAAAAAGAUCGACCAGACAUUUACUGAUGAAUGGGAAAACUCGAAAUACAACCAAACGUCAACGGACGAAUGGGAAAAACUCAUCGUUUAUCGAAACCAACGGAGAGGUAAAUCCAUAUGGGGAAUGGUACAACUAGACAUCAUCGGAUGACUAGGAAAAACUCGACGUUUAUCGACACCAACGGAGAGGAGGAAUCUUCACUAGGGAAGGGAGGGCGACGUUAUGAACAUCGAAAGAGGAUGUUUACCGACAUCAAAAGAAGACCAGACACUUACGCAUGACUGGGAAAGCACCGAAAGAUGGUGUUUAACGACACCAAAGAAAUACCAGACGCUUACGCAUGACUGGGAAUCACCGAAAGAUGGUGUUUACCGACACCAAGGAAAACAAAUACACGCGGGUGCUGACGGGAUAUUGAGAUCUACAAGAUGACAAGGCAAGGCUAAACACUUGCAGGGGGUCUCACUGGGGAGAAGCAAGCUUUCCUUUCCAACGGAUGAGGAAAUAAACCUCUGUGGGGAUUAUCAACACCAAAUGUUGACUGGAGCAACUGUAGCAAAUGUGUCGUACAGGUUGAGCGAAAAUCCGCCUCUGCAGGGGAUACGGUCUGAUGGGGUUUCGAACACAUGAAUGCAUAUGUUUGAAUUUUUCUAUGGCGUAAUGCUCCAUUUAUGAAUGGAAAUGCUACGCGAUUUUUGAGGAUGCAAUGAUCACUACAUGCAAAAUGCAACAUGAACCCUGGCUGGGGAGCCAAAAAGGUCAGAUACUCCGACUCUGUGGGGAGACUCUGACUGAGGAAAUACAGACGCCCCUUAAGAAGAACCCCUUACUAUUUCGCUGAAGUCUGGGGGAAGACCCAACCAACCCUCAGAUAGGAUAAACUCUGCUUUGGAGAAUAUCUGUUACUCCGCUGGGGACGACCCACGCAAUCCACAGGUAGCAUCAACUCAGCUGGGGAUGCAGAUAUCGGUCUGCUACGGAAACUCGUCCAAUCCACUGGUAGGAUAAACUCUGCUUGAGAGAUAAAUGUUACUCCACUAGGGACGACCCAGCCAAUCCAUAUGUAGGAGAAUCACUGCUGGAGAUGUAUUUCAUUGAAACCCGCUCCACUCGGGGAACUUGCUGAGGAAAAAAACACACCAUUCUGCUGAGGAGAACGAUCCUAGUGGGGAGAGUAAAAACUCUGUUGGGGAUGAUAACACGUCAUAUCACUGGAGAUGAACCUCUACCAUCCUGCUGGGGAGAAGCACUCACGACCAUGCUGGAGAUAACAGUAUCACAAACCCGACUGCUGGGGAACACACAAACACACACAAGUCUACUGAUAGACUCCGCUGGGGAACUCCCGGGGAAAAUAACUGCCAGGCGCUCAGCGGGGAUUCUCAACUGGGGAAAUCUGCAAGCACAGGCCUGCUGGGGAUAAACAAUCUUUAGAUCUGCUGGGGAAAGAAAGUACUGUCCACAGACAUCUCUGCAGGGGAAAUAACUCUGAUAGCUUCAAUACUGGCUCAGGCUGGGGAAAAUGUCCUCCACCCUGGGAAACAUUCUGCCCCUGACACUCCCACCAGGGACAAGACAACCUUCAGGCUUACUAAGGAGACACCGAUCUCGGAUCUGUCGGGGAGAUCACACUCUCGACCCAUUGGGGGGAGAUACAAUUUGUUUGACAGAGAUGUCGGUUGGCUUGUCGAACACUGGUAUCCAUCAUUUACCCACAGUGUCGAUUUUCCACUUUUAAUAAUCUCCCAGACUCAUCUGGACUUUUUCUGCUCCAUCAUCUUGCAUUCCCAACUCGUCCGUACUUCACGGAGAUCGAACUCCUGAGAUUCAUACCUACUUUCCAAUCAUCAAACUUUGAAGAGUCUUCUUGAUUAUCUUUCCAGGAUCGUCGUCGUAAUCCUUCACCGUCUUUUCACCGCAAGUCUAUUCCUUGCCCCUGAUCAGGUUCUGUGGGGAUCUCUUGCCAAAAGGGUUCACAUUACCACUGGUAAGUGAAUGAAGGUAUCUAACAGUACCUGCACAAGAGAUCGCCAGAUAAAAGCGUGCCCCAGGCAUGCCCCAGGCAUUUCAAUAUUGCAACGCCUAGGUCACUCAAACUUCCGGAUAAGAUUUCCGGAUUUCAAUCUUAUAAGCAUGCAUCGGAAGGGACCUCUAUGUUUCAAAAUGCAAAUAUUCUUAUCAAACUAAACGGAUGUUUUCGUAAUCAAAACGGUAAUGUCACAAAAACAGAAUUUAUUUGACUGAACACACACUUUAUUGACUGAAACAAAAAGGAUAGCUCAAAACCGAGCGACACACAGGAAGCAAACCCUGGAAAGAGGUGAUUGCGUACAAAAGGAAAAAUCUAUCCUAAUGGCAAUGUGAAACCGUGAUCUCAUCGGGUUCCAACUCAGUUACACCUCNNNNNNNNNNNNNNNNNNNNNNNNNNNNNNNNNNNNNNNNNNNNNNNNNNNNNNNNNNNNNNNNNNNNNNNNNNNNNNNNNNNNNNNNNNNNNNNNNNNNNNNNNNNNNNNNNNNNNNNNNNNNNNNNNNNNNNNNNNNNNNNNNNNNNNNNNNNNNNNNNNNNNNNNNNNNNNNNNNNNNNNNNNNNNNNNNNNNNNNNNNNNNNNNNNNNNNNNNNNNNNNNNNNNNNNNNNNNNNNNNNNNNNNNNNNNNNNNNNNNNNNNNNNNNNNNNNNNNNNNNNNNNNNNNNNNNNNNNNNNNNNNNNNNNNNNNNNNNNNNNNNNNNNNNNNNNNNNNNNNNNNNNNNNNNNNNNNNNNNNNNNNNNNNNNNNNNNNNNNNNNNNNNNNNNNNNNNNNNNNNNNNNNNNNNNNNNNNNNNNNNNNNNNNNNNNNNNNNNNNNNNNNNNNNNNNNNNNNNNNNNNNNNNNNNNNNNNNNNNNNNNNNNNNNNNNNNNNNNNNNNNNNNNNNNNNNNNNNNNNNNNNNNNNNNNNNNNNNNNNNNNNNNNNNNNNNNNNNNNNNNNNNNNNNNNNNNNNNNNNNNNNNNNNNNNNNNNNNNNNNNNNNNNNNNNNNNNNNNNNNNNNNNNNNNNNNNNNNNNNNNNNNNNNNNNNNNNNNNNNNNNNNNNNNNNNNNNNNNNNNNNNNNNNNNNNNNNNNNNNNNNNNNNNNNNNNNNNNNNNNNNNNNNNNNNNNNNNNNNNNNNNNNNNNNNNNNNNNNNNNNNNNNNNNNNNNNNNNNNNNNNNNNNNNNNNNNNNNNNNNNNNNNNNNNNNNNNNNNNNNNNNNNNNNNNNNNNNNNNNNNNNNNNNNNNNNNNNNNNNNNNNNNNNNNNNNNNNNNNNNNNNNNNNNNNNNNNNNNNNNNNNNNNNNNNNNNNNNNNNNNNNNNNNNNNNNNNNNNNNNNNNNNNNNNNNNNNNNNNNNNNNNNNNNNNNNNNNNNNNNNNNNNNNNNNNNNNNNNNNNNNNNNNNNNNNNNNNNNNNNNNNNNNNNNNNNNNNNNNNNNNNNNNNNNNNNNNNNNGUUACACCUCAUAUGUCCUCAAGACUUUCCGCACUUUUUGUUUUCUGAACAAGACGCUUCCGAUCGGUCUCUUGCGGAGAUUAUCCAUGUUAUCAUGAGCACAGACGAUCAUGCCAGACGCAGUUGUUCGUUUCAUUCCCUCUUUUGCCUGGACCGCCCUUUCGGGUUUCAGUCCACCGGGAUACCCUUUUUUGCCCAAGUCGCCCUUGCGGGUUUUCAACUUGCCGGGUGUACAGUUCUUUUCUU
rnacentral:lncRNA from 1 species